UGGGGAAUAUUGCACAAUGGGCGCAAGCCUGAUGCAGCCAUGCCGCGUGUGUGAAGAAGGCCUUCGGGUUGUAAAGCACUUUCAGCGAGGAGGAAGGUGGUGAGCUUAAUACGCUCAUCAAUUGACGUUACUCGCAGAAGAAGCACCGGCUAACUCCGUGCCAGCAGCCGCGGUAAUACGGAGGGUGCAAGCGUUAAUCGGAAUUACUGGGCGUAAAGCGCACGCAGGCGGUUUGUUAAGUCAGAUGUGAAAUCCCCGGGCUCAACCUGGGAACUGCAUUUGAAACUGGCAAGCUAGAGUCUCGUAGAGGGGGGUAGAAUUCCAGGUGUAGCGGUGAAAUGCGUAGAGAUCUGGAGGAAUACCGGUGGCGAAGGCGGCCCCCCUGGACGAAGACUGACGCUCAGGUGCGAAAGCGUGGGGAGCAAACAGGAUUAGAUACCCCUGGUAGUCCAGCGCUGUAAACGAUGUCGAUUUUGGAGGUUGUGCCCUUGAGGCGUGGCUUCCGGAGCUAACGCGUUAAAUCGACCGCCUGGGGGAGUACGGCCGCAAGGUUAAAACUUAAAUGAAUUGAC
rnacentral:rRNA from 1 species